UACACAGGAUGAACGGGCCAGGGCAGU
rnacentral:piRNA from 2 species